rnacentral:lncRNA from 1 species
CUGACCAACAUGGAGAAACCCCAUCUCAACCCUGUCUCUACUAAAAAUAUAAAAUUAGCCGGGCAUGGUGGCGCAUGCCUGUAAUCCCAGCUACUCGGGAGGCUAAGGCAGGAGAAUCUCUUGAACCCAGGAGAUGGAGGUUGCCGUGACCUGAGAUCGCGCCAUUGCACUCCAGCCUGGGCAACAAGAGCGAAACGCCAUCUCAAAACAAAAAGAAAAGAAAACUACAAAACAAAGAAUCAAAGAUAUAAAUAAAUGAAGAAUCAUUUAUCGGCCUUUUGGCUAAGAACAAGUGUAGUAUCUGUUCUUAUCAGUAUAAAUAAAUGAUGAAUCUAUGCCCAUGUUCAUGGACUGAAACGCUCAAUAUAGUAAAGAUGUCAAUUCUCCCCCAAACUGAUAUGCAGGUUUAAUGCAAUUCCUAUCAAAAUCCCAGCAAGUUGUUUUACAGAAACACACAACAUUAUUCUAAAAUUUAUAUGAAAAGGCAAAAGAACUAGAUGAGUGAAAACAAUUUUGGAAAAGAAAAAUAAAUUGGAAGCAUCCAUCUACCAGACUUGAAGACUACCUAAUUACAGUACUCAGACUGUAGAUACUGGUAGAGGGACAGACACACAGAUCAAUGGAACAGAAUAAAGAAUCCAGAAAUAGCCCCACACAAAUGCCUAACUGAUACUUGACAAAGGGGCAAAAGCAGUUCAUUGGAGGAUGACAGCAUCUUCAACAAAUGGCCAAGUAUUGGGGGAAAAAAUGACCCUCCACCUAAAUCUCACACCUGAUACAAACAUCAACUCAAAAUGAGUCACAGACUUAAAUGUAAAUCACAGAAUUAUAAAACGUUGAGGAAAAAAACACAGAAGAAAAUGUUUAGGAUCUAGAGCUAUGCCUUAGACUUGACACCAAAAGCAGAGGUCAUAAGAUGGAAAACUGAUAUACUUGACUUCACGAAAAUUACAAACUUUUGCUCUGCUAAAGAAGAGGAUGAAAAGACAAGCUAUAGACUGGGCGAAAACACUUGCAGCCACAUAGCCAACAAAAGACUAGUAUCUAGGCUCUAUCAAGAACUUGUGAAACCCAAUUGAUCUGUUGUAAAAGCAAACAACCUAAUUAGAAAUGGGCAAAAGAUAUGAAGAGACAUUUCACCAAAAAGGAAAAACAGAUGGCAAAUUAAACCCAUGAAAAGGUGUUCAACAUCAUUAGCCACUAGGGAAACAUGAAUUGAAACCACAAUAAAAUAAUACCACACAUCUAUCAAAAUGGCUAAAAUAAAAUAUGGUAACAGCACCAAAUGCUGGAGGAUGCAGAGAAACUGGAUCCCUCGUGUGUUGCUCCUGGGAAUAUAGAAUGAUACAGCCACUCUGAAAAACAGUUUAAGAGUCUAAACGUGCAAAUACCAUGUAAAACAGCAGUUAUACUCUGAUGAUAAAUAGGCAUUUAUCCCAGAGAAAUAAAAACUUAUGUCCACAAAAAAACCUAUACACAAUGUUAAUAAUAGCUUUAUCCAUCAUAGCCCCCAACUGGAUCCAAUGCAGAUGUCUUUCAACAAGUGAAUGGUUAAAUGAACUAUAGUAUAACCAUACAAUGGAAUCUACUCAGCAAUAAAAAGGAAUAUACUAUUGAUAUACGCAACAACCAGGGAAUUAUGCUGAGUGAAAAAAAGCCAAUCCUAAGGAGUUAUACACUAUAUGAUUCCAUCUAUGUAACAUUCCUGAAAUGAAAAAAUUAUAGAAAUGAAAAACAGCUUAGUGGUUGCCAGGGGUUAAGGAGUGAGGAGAGGCUGUGGGUGGCUAUAAAUGAGCAAUAUGAGAUCUUUGUAGUGCUGGAAAAGCUCUGUAUCUUGACUGAGUCAACGCUCAUGUCCCAGCUGUGAUACUGUUCUAUAGUUUUGUGAGAUGUUACCAUUGUGGGGAACUGGAUGAAGGGUAUACAAGUUCUCUCUGUAUUAUUUGUUACAUGAAUCUACAAUUAUCUCAAAAGAAAAAGGGAAGGAGGUCCCUCCGCUAAUGAAGUCAUACCUUUCUCCAGACCCAGUAAACCAAGGAGCUGAAAGGCACUGAGUAAAGGGCGAUGGACCUGCCAGUCUAGCAAGGACCCCAGAGGCCAUACCCUUUACACCUUCUGAACCAUGAACAGUGGCAGCAAGGUUGGUUCAGGAAUCCACUUCGGGUGAUGAGACUAGACUAACUAGACACUAAUGUGCAGACCCAGGGCAUCCUGCCCCAGAGCCACAGGCACAGGCUUAAACUGCACUGGGUUCCUACCCCAGAAAGCACAGGUCAGGGUGUGAGCACCAGAAAAAAGUUACAGUGUAGACUGGUAUACUCUUCCAAUUCACCCAUGAGCUACCAAGAAUGUGGAGGUCAAUGGGGAAAUGGAGUUAAAGUGUUAAAAUACAUGGAAUGCUAGCCGGGCGGGGGUGGAUCACACCUAUAAUCCCAGCACUUUGGGAGGCCAAGGCGGGUGGAUCACUUGAGGUUAGGAGUUCAAGACCAGCCCGGCCAACAUGGUGAAACCCCGUCUCUACUAAAAAUACAAAAAUUAGCUGGAUGCGGUGAUGUGUGCCUGUAAUCCCAGCUGCUCUGGAGGCUGAGGCAGGGGAAUCACUUGAACCCAGGAGGCAGAGGUUGCCAUGAGCCGAGAUCAUGCCACUGCACUCCAGCCUGGGCGACAGAGUGAGACUCCAUCUCAAAAAAAAAAAUAUGGAAUAUGUUGUACAACAGAGGAAAGGAGGGGCUUGGCACAGUUGCCGGUACUUCAGGCUCCCGUGUCCAUUUCUAGAUUUGUAAGCAGUCAUGUGUGUUUUAAGUGCCAUCCUCAGACAGAAACCAAGUUCUGUGUAAUUUUUUCCCAUUCCAGUUGAACAAACUGUAAACUGGCCAACAGUCAUGUGACUGGCAAACGAGAAGGAUGAAACAAAGGCUAUUUUCUCUUUUCUUUUCUCCCUGUCUUACUGCAGCCCCCACCUCCCACUCCCAUGGCUGCUGGAUAGCACCCCAGGCAACAGUAAUGGUCGAGAACCCCCAUGGCCACAUGUGGAGGCUAGGAUGGCAACAGCCACAGGCAUCCUACUGAGCCCCUAGAACCAAGGAAGAGACUCCAGGUUGGGUUAAACCAUGAAUGCUGAAGACACAGCAGCUAUUCCUACUGAGGCAGAAGCCACACUCCCCUCUUGGGUCUGAGUGACACAGUCUGGCUGAGUCUGGGAAAAUGGGAAGCUGUGAAGAAGCAUUCUAGAUCCAGUGAGAAAGGGGAGACGAGGAACAGGAGGAGAGCGUGCUAUGGGGCCUUUUCACACUGCUGGUCCUGCAGUGCUUGGCUAUGCAGUGGGUUGAAGCUCACUACAAACCAACGCCCUUCGCUGGUGAGCUGAGUGGCCUACAUAGGUGAGUGGAUGGCUGCAAAACGGAAACAGAUCAGGAGGUGAGUGUUUUGCUUGUGUGUAUCUGGUCUGAGAGUUAAAUAUACAUUCUGCCCUGAUUCACUCCUUGGGAUUCCGCGUCAAACGGGUGACCUGCGUACUCGUCCCAGCAAGAUACAAAAGUGAUGCCAAAGCAACCACACACAAAAGAAAAGAUGUUCAUCUCUCCUCCUGGGGACAGAGUUUCACCCGUUUCACCCUAGUUUGGCUGUUGAGCCUAAAAGGUUAAUAAAGAACAAAAACUAGGGAAACGCAGGGAAUAAGGACAUUCCUACCCGCCUGCUCAUGCCCUUCCUUGCUCUCAGAGAAGGAGGUCUCAGACAGACACAUCUGAGGGUAGCUCCAAAGGCCAGAUACAGAGCACACAGCUCAUAGUGAGAACCCUCCUAAGCCAGGACACAGUCGACCGCUCUACACAGCCCACCAGCAGACACAGACACGAAGACAACAGAAAUGAAGAAAGAGCUUUUUGGCUUUUUCCCCUUUUUUACUGCAUCCUGUUAGGAUGAAAAGAAAUAUUAUCCUUUGAUGAAGCGGUGUCAAGAUGGGAGGACAUCCAUGUAGACAGAACCCAGGCAUUGUCACCGGGCUAGGUUAACAGCUGGAGCCAUCAUAGCCUUCUUGAACUAAGUUGCUGCUUUCCUAUUUUUUGAGCAUUUUACUGCCAGAGCCAAUGAAACAUUUAACAUUCAAACCUGCAAGAAUGCUGUCAAAACUCUUUAUUGCUUCCAUUUCCACUGAACUGAAAAACCAGAUAAAAAAAUUACCGGGGUAUUCUUGAUCUUUUGUUCCCCAAACUGAAAAUGCUACAAAGAACUUAAACCAGUAAUUACCCUGAGGAACUAAUCACCAAGAUAGCACCAAACUUCUGAAUUGCGGCAUAAACAUCCUAAUUAAUUAACAAAAUAUUGGAGGGAGAAAAAAAGGAAAGCCCAGUUUACUGUUAAAUCUUUAUAGAGAUGUUUGAGGAGCAGAGUAUAUUAGCUCAAACUAGUGCUCCCUUUGAAUUUCACAAGUUUUUUCCUUUUUUUUUUUGGAGACAGGGUCUUGCUCUGUCACCUGAGGCUGGAGUGCCGUGGUAUGAUCUCAGCUCACUGCAACCUCCACCUCUCAGGCUCAACUGAUCUUCCCACCUCAGCCUCCCAAGUAGCUGGGACCAACAGCAUGCACCACCAAGCCCGGCUAAUGUUUGGUAUUUUUGUUAGAGAUGAGGUUUCACCAUGUUGCCCAGGCUGGUCUCGAACUCCUGAGCUCAGGCAAUUCACCUGUCUCGGCCUCCUAAAGUGCUGGGAUUACAGGCAUAAGCCACUGUGCCCAGUGAAAUUUCACAAGCUUUCUAGUUUGGACAAUAUGUCACAUGGUCUAACUCGAAUUUAUUUCAUUCAACAUGUCUAAUUACUUCCAAAUAAUAGAUUAUAUAUUUAUGAUAAACACAUUUAUCUAUUAGCUAAAAGUUGCCUCAUGAAGUAGCAAAUGAUGGAGAUAAAAGGCUGAUUGAUGCCCACUGUGAAAUGUAAUUCACCAACAUUGACCUGCACUUCACUACAAAACAAAAGCUGCAAACACACACAAAGGUAUUCUGUUUAAUUGGAGAUGGGUUUGCCAUUUGUGGCUUAAAUUCAUUGCAGUGAAGGAUAUUACUGAACACACUUCUGGACCACCAUCUUAAGUAAGCAGACAUGCCACAGAAAUGGGUACUGAUAAAUGCAUUUAACUGUAAAAGUAAGAUCAGCAUUAUAAAUAACAACAGUAAGCUCAGUAGAGCUGCCAGCAGAUAGAUAAAUAAAUAACAGUAAGUAUUUUUCUAAAUAUCAAAAUUGUCACUAACUCAGGAGCUCUGAUGAUGAAGCCGGGCUCAAAUACUUAAUACAAUGGGAUGACACUAUAAUCCGCUAAAUCUCAGACUUUCAAUAUACAUUCCAAUGACCAAACGAUUACCAAAAUCUAAAGUUCCACAACUCAACUAGUAUAUAUAUAUUAUCCUCCCCUCAAAAAACUCGUUUUACUAAAAUAAGAUUCAUGUUUCAACAUUGUUUCUGUUCUUUUUUUUUUAAAGAGAUAUGAUCUCGCCCCAAUGCUAGGCUACAGUGCAGUGGCUCAAUCACAGCUCACUGCAGCUUCAAACUCCUGGGCUCAAGCAAUCUUCCCACCUCAGCCUCCCGAAUAUAGCUGGCGCAACAGGCACACGCCACUGCUGCCACAACCACAACCACCACUGCCACUACCACUCCUGCUACCACCUCCAACACCACUGCCACCACCACAUCCCCAGCUAAUUGUUUCUAUUCUAUGAAAACAAUCCUUACUGGAUCAUGUGCCCGGCUGCACAGGCAUUCCCCCUCCCCUCCCCAAACACACACACACACACACACACACACACACACACACACACACACACACACACACACGUCCAUUUCACUGCAUUCCCACCCUAAAAUCAAGGGCAUCUUAUCAAGCACUCAUGCCUACAGACUCAUCACUGAAACACAAAAAUUUAAAUGAUACUCUACUUGUCCACUCGUAUCUGCAGCCUGCUGGAAAUGUGUAGCCAGUGAUGUCUCG